rnacentral:rRNA from 1 species
UACGUAGGGGGCAAGCGUUUGUCCGGAUUUAUUGGGCGUAAAGAGCGUGUAGGCGGCUUUACAGGUCCGUUGUGAAAACUCGAGGCUCAACCUCGAGACGCCGGUGGAAACCGUAAGGCUAGAGUCCGGAAGAGGAGAGUGGAAUUCCAGGUGUAGCGGUGAAAUGCGUAGAUAUCUGGAGGAACACCGGUGGCGAAGGCGGCAUCCUGGACCAACACUGACGCUGAGUGAGCGAAAGCCAGGGGAGCAAACGGG